rnacentral:rRNA from 1 species
GACUCUCGGCAACGGAUAUCUCGGCUCUCGCAUCGAUGAAGAACGUAGCGAAAUGCGAUACUUGGUGUGAUUGCAGAAUCCCGUGAACCAUCGAGUCUUUGAACGCAAGUUGCGCCCGAGGCCUCUUGGUCGAGGGCACGUCUGCCUGGGUGUCA